GAUGAACGCUGGCGGCGUGCCUAAUACAUGCAAGUCGAGCGAACAGACGAGGAGCUUGCUCCUCUGACGUUAGCGGCGGACGGGUGAGUAACACGUGGAUAACCUACCUAUAAGACCGGGAUAACUUCGGGAAACCGGAGCUAAUACCGGAUAAUAUAUUGAACCGCAUGGUUCAAUAGUGAAAGACGGUUUUGCUGUCACUUAUAGAUGGAUCCGCGCCGCAUUAGCUAGUUGGUAAGGUAACGGCUUACCAAGGCAACGAUGCGUAGCCGACCUGAGAGGGUGAUCGGCCACACUGGAACUGAGACACGGUCCAGACUCCUACGGGAGGCAGCAGUAGGGAAUCUUCCGCAAUGGGCGAAAGCCUGACGGAGCAACGCCGCGUGAGUGAUGAAGGUCUUCGGAUCGUAAAACUCUGUUAUUAGGGAAGAACAAAUGUGUAAGUAACUAUGCACGUCUUGACGGUACCUAAUCAGAAAGCCACGGCUAACUACGUG
rnacentral:rRNA from 1 species